rnacentral:rRNA from 1 species
CAUCUAGGCGGCCAACUAAGUCUGAUGUUAAAAUGCAGGGCUCAACCCCGUAUUGCGUUGGAAACUGGUUGGCUAGAGUACUGGAGAGGUGGGCGGAACUACAAGUGUAGAGGUGAAAUUCGUAGAUAUUUGUAGGAAUGCCGAUAGGGAAGCCAGCUCACUGGACAGAUACUGACGCUGAAGUGCGAAAGCGUGGGGAGCAAACA